UUGGUAUUUUAAUAUUUUUGAGCCCUUUGGCAUUCAUCAGACUGUGUUUGACUAUAUUUUUCUAUACUUGCUUUUAAAAGUCAUUUAACAUCCUUUCACUGGGUUAUAAAUAGUAAUAUUAGUAGUCAUUAAUUAUAUAUGAUAGUGUGCUAAUUCAAUGAUUAUAUUUUUUUCUAAAUAGGGUUAUUGGGGCUGUGCCAUUGGCAAAGCCAGGCAAGCUGCAAAGACGGAAAUAGAGAAGCUUCAGAUGAAAGAAAUGACCUGCCGUGAUAUCGUUAAAGAAGUUGCAAAAAUGUAAGUUGAAAUUUUUCUUACCAUCCACAAAAAUAUUUCACUUGACCUUUGUAUAUAUAUAUUACAUUAAUCCUAAGAAGCUGUUUUCCUGUAAAAUAACUUAGUGAAUAAUUUUUAGAAGGUAAGUUUAACAUUGUAAGCGUCACGAAGGAAGAAAAUGUUUUUAAGCAACAUUUUUUAGUAGUAAUGAAUAGGAUGGGAAAAAUAGCUUGACAAAAUAAACUCCUGUUACAGGUUAAGGACAUACAAAAUACCACUAGAGUCUUAAUUUGUUAGCU
rnacentral:sRNA from 1 species